rnacentral:rRNA from 1 species
UACGUAGGGUGCAAGCGUUGUCCGGAAUUAUUGGGCGUAAAGAGCUCGUAGGCGGUGUGUCACGUCGGCCGUGAAAACCUGCAGCUUAACUGUGGGCGUGCGGUCGAUACGGACAUCACUGGAGUUCGGCAGGGGAGACUGGAAUUCCUGGUGUAGCGGUGAAAUGCGCAGAUAUCAGGAGGAACACCGGUGGCGAAGGCGGGUCUCUGGGCCGUAACUGACGCUGAGGAGCGAAAGCGUGGGGAGCGAACAGG